UCUCUGCUGCUACUGCUGUCCCUGCUGUGGGGAGGUGAGGGGGCUGGGCAGAGGCGGGAGGGUUGGCGGGAGCUCAAUGUCAAAGCCUAAAUGCUGGAGGACCACGCGGGGUAUGAGCUGCAGAUUCCAGAGCUGGUGAUGGUGCAGGAGGGCCUGUAUGUCCUGGUGCCCUGCUCCUUCUCCUACCCCAGUGACAGAUGGAGUCACUCAGACCCACCCUACGUCUUCUGGUUCCGGCAAGGGGACAAUGAACACUGGGAUCCUCCCAUGGCCACAAACAAACCCAGCUAGAAGCUGCAAAAGAGAAGCUAGGACCAUUUCCAAUUUCCUUGGGGACCCCCAGACUGACAUCUGUUCCCUGAGCAUCAGAGACACCAGGAGGAAAGAUGGCGGAGUGUAUUUAUUUCGGUUGGAGAGGGGUCCUGUCGUGAAAUUCAGCUUCAAGCAAAAGACACUGUCUUUGAACGUGAUAGGUAGGCGUGCUGUGUCCAGGAGCCUAGGGCUCAGAUGGGGGAGCCAUUCCUGGGGCUGGGACAGAGGCUGCUUCUGAGUUCACACCCUGGAAGUCCCCUCUCUGUGUCCCAGGUCUUUGCCUCUCUCCUUCCCAGCCCUCACCCAGACACCUGACAUCCAAGUCCCAGCAACUCUGGAAUCUGGCCAUCCUGCGAACCUGCUACGUGUCAGCAGCCUGGAAAAGCAGAAAGUCACUCAUCUUUUCCUGGACAUGGGGAACUGUCAUCUCCCUGGGCCCUAGGACCCCUCACUUCUCAGAGAUCACCAUCAUCCCACUUCCCUGGAGCCACGGCUCCAGUAUCACCUUCCAAGUGACUUUCCCAAGGUUUCAUGUGACCACAGAGAUGACCAUCCAACUCAAUGUCUCCUGUGAGUCUGAGUUAUUUUGGGCAGUGACUGUGGGAAGAGAGUCAGGGUAUGGGAUACUUGGAGUGGGGUCCUGGAUUCUGGGCAGGGGAAGGGACCAAAGGAUGCUCCCCUAACCCUCAAAACUGAAGAGGGAUGUGUCAUCUUUUGAAUUCAGAUGCUCCACAGAACCUGACCAUCAGUGUCUUCCAUGGAAAUAAAACAGGUAGGAGGCAAGCCCUCCUUUCCAAGGUUG
rnacentral:lncRNA from 1 species